GCGAUUCUCCUGCCUCAGCCUCCUGAGUAGCUGGGACUACAGGCGUGUGCCACCACGCCCAGUGUUGGGAUUACAGGUGUGAACCACCGUGCCUCCCUGGCCCUGGAAACUCUUAACAACUGGGAAGGGCCUGCUUGAGAAUGAAGCCACAAAGCAGAGUGGAGCAGAGUGGAGAGAAGGAGAGACAUCCUGAUCAACUUGUUUGGGCAACUGGAUCCAGCCAUGCCAGAAUAAUUCUUCCCCUAGAUGAUUCACAUGAGCCAAUAAACUCACUCGUUUUGUUUGUUUGUUUA